UUAUUAUAUUAGGAUCGUAAAUUUAAGCAAAUAUUCUUCAAUUCCUUCAUGAAUAUGACUAACAAUUUUAUAUUAAUUCUAAUACAUUUUUAUUAUCAACUGAUGAUUACGGACUAAUGUGUUACCCGGUAAACGAAAAACGAUGCAUGUUCAAAUUAAAUAUCACUAAAUCUGGCAAUCUGUCAGCAUAAGAAAUCAGAAAUACGCAAAUCGAAUUUUAAUUUUUUAUUAUCCUUACUAAUCUAAAUUUCGAAACCACUGUAUCAUUUAUAUAUCGCAAUAGCAUGGACUAAAAAUUGUAAAAUAAAGCAUUGUGUUUAUUGGAACACAAUAUACACUUUCUUAUCGCAUUGCCGUGUGUCGUCGUUGCCAACACCUCACGCCGCAUAUUGCUGCAUCUUAGUUUAGUUUUGAUCCCAGGUAAACUGCCAAAUGCAAUUCGCGCAUAUGGUCGCGUUUCAUCGACGCACCGCCGGCUUUGCGCAUCUCUUGCUUUCUUAUCAUAAACUGCCUCAUCGUUGCUUAUACAGCUUGCGACCAGUUUCGUGUCGGUCUCUGGUUGAUUCAGACGUGUUUUGUGCGACUCGUAUCGUUUAUCCGGACUUCUACUUUCCAGUUCGUAUUAUAUUCGAUCAUCAAUUGACUAUUUAAUUUUUUUAACUUGACUUUAGUAACUUUAGUACUGUUAUUUAUUAUUUGCGCGUACCUAAGUGUAUCGCGGCCAUGUUGUUUACCUGUUGUGAAGUGCCGUCGGCCAUCUUCCAAUUGUAAUUGAAGAAAUACCAGUGAGGGCCAUGAGUUACCAUACACGUGGAGAGAGUACAUGGGUGAGAUUAUAAUUAAAUUCUUCAUUUCAUGGGCAUAGUUCAGUUUCGCGUCAUUGUAAUUGUCAUUCCGGUUUGAAUUACUAUAAAUUUAAUACAUUGCCCGCCUGGGAUAUGCUUAUUUUUACUGAUGUUUAAUGUUUACACUGGAAUGCCCCUGAUAUGCGAAUUUAUUGACAUUUCUUUUCGGUUUGCUCCCCCGACUGAUGCGAGAUGCUAGGCCGGUUGAUGCAUGAAAAUAAAACAGAUAAAAAUAUAUUUAUUCCGUACCCUACAACUUGCACACGAGAAUUGUUUGACUUCUAUUUAUUUAUCGGUGUUAGUAUUUCUAUUCUUUUGAUUAAAUAUUUCAUUGAAUUAUUUUGAUUUGUUCUUACCGCAGUUUUAUUUGAUCGGGAAUUUCUCUUCAGUACAGUUCAAAAUUUCGGGUUUUGUAGUGUCGAUUCAAGCGAACAAUUCUGGUUUUAAUGCAAAUCCAUUCUCUGAUAUGUUUCCUACUUGGCUUCAAUACUUGUUCUACGAUUCUCAAUCUCAGGAUUUGCACUC